rnacentral:rRNA from 1 species
GACGAACGCUGGCGGCGUGCUUAACACAUGCGAGUCGAACGGUAAGGCUCCAGCUUGCUGGGGUACACGAGUGGCGAACGGGUGAGUAACACGUGGGUGACCUGCCCUGCACUUCGGGAUAAGCCUGGGAAACUGGGUCUAAUACCGGAUAGGACUGCACCGUGAGGGUGUGGUGGAAAGUUUUUUCGGUGUGGGAUGGGCCCGCGGCCUAUCAGCUUGUUGGUGGGGUAAUGGCCUACCAAGGCGGCGACGGGUAGCCGGCCUGAGAGGGUGGACGGCCACAUUGGGACUGAGACACGGCCCAGACUCCUACGGGAGGCAGCAGUGGGGAAUAUUGCACAAUGGGCGGAAGCCUGAUGCAGCGACGCCGCGUGGGGGAUGACGGCCUUCGGGUUGUAAACUCCUUUCACCAUCGACGAAGGGUUUCUGACGGUAGAUGGAGAAGAAGCACCGGCUAACUACGUG